rnacentral:tRNA from 1 species
ACUUAAAUAGCUUAUAAAGAGCGUGGUAUUGAAGAUACUAAGGAGAAUUAAAUUUUUUAAGUA